rnacentral:rRNA from 1 species
GCGAGCGUUGUCCGGAAUUAUUGGGCGUAAAGAGCUCGUAGGCGGCCUGUUGCGUCCGCUGUGAAAGCCCGGGGCUUAACCCCGGGUCUGCAGUGGAUACGGGCAGGCUAGAGGUAGGUAGGGGAGAAUGGAAUUCCCGGUGUAGCGGUGAAAUGCGCAGAUAUCGGGAGGAACACCGGUGGCGAAGGCGGCUUACUGGUCCGGAACUGACGCUGAGGUGCGAAAGCGUGGGGAGCAAACAGG